GACAGAGGGUGCAAACGUUGUUCGGAAUUACUGGGCGUAAAGCGUGUGUAGGCGGCCUUAUAAGUCGGAUGUGAAAGCCCCGGGCUCAACCCGGGAAGUGCAUACGAAACUGGCGGACUUGAAUAUGGAAGAGGGUCGCGGAAUUCCCGGUGUAGAGGUGAAAUUCGUAGAUAUCGGGAGGAACACCAGUGGCGAAGGCGGCGACCUGGGCCAAUAUUGACGCUAAUGUGCGAAAGCGUGGGGAGCAAACAGG
rnacentral:rRNA from 1 species